rnacentral:rRNA from 1 species
GGGGGCAACCCUGAUCCAGCCANUGCCGCGUGUGUGAAGAAGGCCUUCGGGUUGUAAAGCACUUUUGUCCGGAAAGAAAUCGCACUUACUAAUAUUAGGUGUGGAUGACGGUACCGGAAGAAUAAGGACCGGCUAACUACGUGCCAGCAGCCGCGGUAAUACGUAGGGUCCAAGCGUUAAUCGGAAUUACUGGGCGUAAAGCGUGCGCAGGCGGUUGUGCAAGACCGAUGUGAAAUCCCCGGGCUUAACCUGGGAAUUGCAUUGGUGACUGCACGGCUAGAGUGUGUCAGAGGGGGGUAGAAUUCCACGUGUAGCAGUGAAAUGCGUAGAGAUGUGGAGGAAUACCGAUGGCGAAGGCAGCCCCCUGGGAUAACACUGACGCUCAUGCACGAAAGCGUGGGGAGCAAACAGGAUUAGAUACCCUGGUAGUCCACGCCCUAAACGAUGUCAACUAGUUGUUGGGGAUUCAUUUCCUUAGUAACGUAGCUAACGCGUGAAGUUGACCGCCUGGGGAGUACGGUCGCAAGAUUAAAACUCAAGGGGAAUUGACGGA